UACGGAGGAUCCGAGCGUUAUCCGGAUUUAUUGGGUUUAAAGGGUGCGCAGGCGGGGGAUUAAGUCGGCGGUGAAAUUUUGCAGCUCAACUGUAAAAGUGCCUUCGAAACUGGUUUCCUUGAGUGUAGAUGAAGUAGGCGGAAUUUGUGGUGUAGCGGUGAAAUGCGCAGAGAUCAGGAGGAAUACCGAAGGCGAAGGCAGUCUUCCAAGCCGUUAUUGACGCUCAACUGCGAAGGUGUGGGUAUCAAACAGGAUUAGAUACCCUGGUAGUCCCUGA
rnacentral:rRNA from 1 species